GACGAACGCUGGCGGCGUGCUUAACACAUGCAAGUCGAACGGAGCGAAUGAAAGCUUGCUUUUAUGAGCUUAGUGGCAAACGGGUGAGUAACACGUAGACAACCUGCCGAUCAGAUGGGGACAACAUUCCGAAAGGAAUGCUAAUACCGAAUGGCGUGUAGGGGAGGCAUCUUCCCUACAUGAAAGAUGGCCUCUAUAUAUAAGCUAUCACUGAUCGAUGGGUCUGCGUCUGAUUAGCUAGUAGGUAAGGUAACGGCUUACCUAGGCGACGAUCAGUAGCCGGUCUGAGAGGAUGAACGGCCACAUUGGGACUGAGACACGGCCCAGACUCCUACGGGAGGCAGCAGUGGGGAAUCUUCCGCAAUGGGCGCAAGCCUGACGGAGCAACGCCGCGUGAGUGAAGAAGGUCUUCGGAUCGUAAAGCUCUGUUGAAGGGGACGAACGAUCGAGGGGCGAACAGGCUCUCGGUAGA
rnacentral:rRNA from 1 species